rnacentral:lncRNA from 1 species
CGAGACGUCUCCGCGACUAAUGCGAGACGUCUCGCCGGGGGGACGUCUCUGUGAUUUGCCAGAGACGUCUCCGGCACUGAAAAAUUUCAGAAUGAUUUCUAUCUUUUCCCAAUUUGUUUUAUUCAACUACAAUAAUCAGUGUGAUUUCUUUUGGUGAAUAUAGAGUGAGCUUGCUUGUGAUCCUUCCCCUUAAUAAUACAUCCUAUAAAAGUUUGAUAAUGAUUUUUGAAUUAUCAAUAUUGAAAUGAGGAAUGUUUGACCAAAUUUCGAAUGCCUAUGAAAUAGGCUCUGAAAAUAUCUCCAUGAAGAGUCCAAGGGAGGGUAACCAUCCUCCG